UACGUGAGGGGCGAACGUUGUUCGGUGUCACUGGGCUUAAAGGGCGCGUAGGUGGUUGCGUAAGUAACGUGUGAAAUCCCUCGGCUUACCCGGGGAAUUGCAUGUUAUACUGCGUGGCUUGAGGAUCUCAGGGGAAAGGGGAACUCCAGGUGUAGCGGUGAAAUGCGCAGAUAUCUGGGGGAAGGCCGGCGGCGAAGGCGGAUCUCUGGGCCUUACUGACGCUGAGGAGCGAAAGCGUGGGGAGCAAACAGGG
rnacentral:rRNA from 1 species